CGGGGUGAGUAACGCGUGGGUAACCUGCCUCAUACGGGGGGAUAACGGUUGGAAACGGCUGCUAAUACCGCAUAAGCGCACAGUACCGCAUGAUUCAGUGUGAAAAGCCCUGGCAGUAUAGGAUGGUCCCGCGUCUGAUUAGCUGGUUGGUGAGGUAACGGCUCACCAAGGCGACGAUCAGUAGCCGGCUUGAGAGAGUGAACGGCCACAUUGGGACUGAGACACGGCCCAA
rnacentral:rRNA from 1 species